rnacentral:ribozyme from 11 species
UGGAGAGCGAAAGGAAGCGGAAAAGACAAUCGGAUGAGAGUGUGGAGACAGCGAAGGGCAAGGAAGACUCGAAAGACGCAACAUCCAAGAGGAAAUCCAUUAGGGAGGAUUGCAGCGAAGAAACGAGGAGGCUGCGCGAGAAGUC